GCAAAACGCGAAGAACCUUACCAGCCCUUGACAUCCCGGUCGCGGUUACCAGAGAUGGUUUCCUUCAGUUCGGCUGGACCGGUGACAGGUGCUGCAUGGCUGUCGUCAGCUCGUGUCGUGAGAUGUUGGGUUAAGUCCCGCAACGAGCGCAACCCUCGCCCUUAGUUGCCAUCAUUCAGUUGGGCACUCUAAGGGGACUGCCGGUGAUAAGCCGAGAGGAAGGUGGGGAUGACGUCAAGUCCUCAUGGCCCUUACGGGCUGGGCUACACACGUGCUACAAUGGCGGUGACAAUGGGCAGCUAACCCGCGAGGGUGAGCUAAUCUCCAAAAACCGUCUCAGUUCGGAUUGUACUCUGCAACUCGAGUGCAUGAAGUUGGAAUCGCUAGUAAUCGUGGAUCAGCAUGCCACGGUGAAUACGUUCCCGGGUCUUGUACACACCG
rnacentral:rRNA from 1 species